GACGAACGCUGGCGGCGUGCCUAAUACAUGCAAGUAGAACGCUGAAGGAGGAGCUUGCUUCUCUGGAUGAGUUGCGAACGGGUGAGUAACGCGUAGGUAACCUGCCUGGUAGCGGGGGAUAACUAUUGGAAACGAUAGCUAAUACCGCAUAAGAGUAGAUGUUGCAUGACAUUUGCUUAAAAGGUGCAAUUGCAUCACUACCAGAUGGACCUGCGUUGUAUUAGCUAGUUGGUGGGGUAACGGCUCACCAAGGCGACGAUACAUAGCCGACCGGAGAGGGUGAUCGGCCACACUGGGACUGAGACACGGCCCAGACUCCUACGGGAGGCAGCAGUAGGGAAUCUUCGGCAAUGGACGGAAGUCUGACCGAGCAACGCCGCGUGAGUGAAGAAGGUUUUCGGAUCGUAAAGCUCUGUUGUAAGAGAAGAACGAGUGUGAGAGUGGAAAGUUCACACUGUGACGGUAUCUUACCAGAAAGGGACGGCUAACUACGUG
rnacentral:rRNA from 1 species